CCCAGACUCCUACGGGAGGCAGCAGUGAGGAAUAUUGGUCAAUGGGCGGGAGCCUGAACCAGCCAAGUCGCGUGAGGGAAGAAGGUACUGAGUAUUGUAAACCUCUUUUGUCGGGGAGCAACGAGGCCACGUGUGGCCGAAGUGAGAGUACCCGAAGAAAAAGCAUCGGCUAACUCCGUGCCAGCAGCCGCGGUAAUACGGAGGAUGCGAGCGUUAUCCGGAUUUAUUGGGUUUAAAGGGUGCGUAGGCGGAACAUUAAGUCAGCGGUAAAAUCGAGGGGCUCAACCCCUUUAAGCCGUUGAAACUGGUGAUCUUGAGUGGGCGAGAAGUAUGCGGAAUGCGUGGUGUAGCGGUGAAAUGCAUAGAUAUCACGCAGAACUCCGAUUGCGAAGGCAGCAUACCGGCGCCCGACUGACGCUGAGGCACGAAAGCGUGGGGAUCGAACAGGAUUAGAUACCCCAGUA
rnacentral:rRNA from 1 species